rnacentral:rRNA from 1 species
AUGUCUGUGCUGGAGGACGCCGGGGGAGUCGGCGCCAUGCAAAGGAGCGGCAGGCUCCUCGCCGGCAAGUUCUGGGCCGCGGCUGCCAUUUUCUCGACGCUCGACGGCUGCGCCUUGGCCGUGCAACUGGCCUUCAAGGCGCUGGUGGUGGACGACACGAUGGGCCUCAGCGUCUGGCUCCGGGUGGCCGCUGGGGUGGCGAUGGCGGCGGCGCUGUGGGCGGCGGUGAUGGUAGGGCUGGUGGCGCAGGUGGUGGUGUACUUCGUGUGCAAGAACUACCACCGUCAGCGACCUAGGGCGAGCCCCUAG